UGGUGGAGUGAUUUGUCUGGUUAAUUCCGCUAACGAACGAGACCUUACCCUGCUAAAUAGGAGCCUGAUUCUCAAUCGGGUAUCCUUCUUAGAGGGACUAUGUGCGCAAGCACAUGGAAGUUUGAGGCAAUAACA
rnacentral:rRNA from 1 species